CCCGCUGAAUUUAAGCAUAUUGCUAAGCGGAGGAAAAGAAACUAACCAGGAUUCCCUCAGUAGCGGCGAGCGAAGAG
rnacentral:ncRNA from 1 species